CAAGCGUUGUUCGGAAUUACUGGGCAUAAAGGGUGCGUAGGUGGCUUGUUAAGUCAGGGGUGAAAGUUUUCGGCCCAACCGGAAAAUGGCCUUUGAUACUGGCGAGCUCGAGUGCGUGAGGGGUUACCGGAACGAGCAGUGUAGCGGUGAAAUGCGUAGAUAUUGCUCGGAAGGCCAACGGCGAAGGCAGGUUACUGGUGCGCAACUGACACUGAGGCACGAAAGCGUGGGGAGCAAACAGG
rnacentral:rRNA from 1 species